rnacentral:tRNA from 1 species
GCGGACGUGACGUAAUUGGUAGCCGUACCAGAUUUAGGAUCUGGCGCCGUAAGGCAUGGGGGUUCGAGUCCCUUCGUCCGCA